AAAAAAUUUAAUAUAAAACACUUAAAUUUAUUUACUUUUUCGUCGAGUUCGUUAAUUAUUUUUUUAUCAAAUUCUCUGAGAUUUUUUCUAUGGUCUGCUUGAAGUUGAAGACGCAUCUCUGUUUUACCAGGUUUGUCUUUGUCCGAUUUUAAUAAAGUUUGUAUACUGACUAAAAAAAAAAAAAUAUUUAAAUUUUCAACCAAACAUUUUGCAGCAACAUUAAUAGAAAAUACUGGUUAUUAAAAUUACAUAUAAUUGCAAUGUUCAUAAAUAAGCCGCUCAUUAACGAGGGUUGGACCAUUAAAUUGUACAGGAGUCACUCGUUAACAUAAUAUAAAUUGCUAUGUAUUUAAUUGAUAAACAUACUGAAAUUGAAAUUGAUUAAAAUAAAAUAUUAUAUACAAUACCUGAAUGUGUAUUAAUAAUUUCUAAUCUUUUUUGAAAAAGUUGUUUUUCAGUGACGUGUUGUAUAUCUGUAAGUUGUUUUACGAUGCUAUAUAACGUUUCGUCAAGAAGACAUUCAGCCAACUCGCAAAGUAAUUCGUUUGGAAUACGUUGUUGAUAUUUUCUGAAAACAAGAUGCCAAUACACAGCGGUCAGAAUGAAAGGACUGCUCUGCCACCUUAUGCUGUUGCAGCUGAGUCGCGAAUAUUAUAAUAUUUAAGUUUAUGAAUAGGACAUUUUUCAUGUUGCUAUCAAUAAAAGAGAGCAAGGGAGUUAAAAAAAUUUUUUGGAUGCAAGUGGAGAACCAAAACCGGGUUUUUUAAAUCAAAAUAGGAUUUGGCUAGGAGUUAAGAGUAUAUUUUUGUCACUUUACAAUAGAAAUUUUGAUGAUUCACCACCGUUUCAAGUUAGUUAUUAUGUUGCACGUAAUCAGUAACACCUUAAAAAACGA